rnacentral:rRNA from 1 species
ACACGUCUACAUUAGAUACCCGCGUAGUCCCAGCCGUAAACGAUGCGCGUUAGGUGUAUCGACGACCACGAGUCGUCGAGGUGCCGAAGGGAAACCGUGAAACGUGCCGCCUGGGAAGUACGGUCGCAAGGCUGAAACUUAAAGGAAUUGGCGGGGAGCACCACAACAGGUGGAGCCUGCGGUUUAAUUGGACUCAACGCCGGAAAUCUCACCGGAUAAGACAGCAGAAUGAUUGCCGGGCUGAAGACUCUGCAUGACUAGCUG